rnacentral:rRNA from 1 species
UACAGGGGGUGCAAACGUUGCUCGGAAUCAUUGGGCGUAAAGCGCACGUAGGCGGUUCGUUAUGUCGGAUGUGAAAGCCCUUGGCUUAACCGAGGAAGUGCAUCCGAAACUGGCGAGCUAGAGUACUAAAGAGGAUCGCGGAAUUCCCGGUGUAGAGGUGAAAUUUCGUAGAUAUCGGGAGGAACACCGGUGGCGAAGGCGGCGAUCUGGGUAGAUACUGACGCUGAGGUGCGAAAGCGUGGGGGAGCAAACAGG